UUUUUCAGUCGAGUUUUUGCCACCGAGCCGAAUGGUUCCUCUUCUUCACACUCGUCUUUUUUACGUUUUCCGUAGUGAUUUGUUGUUCGCGUACGCUCAGCAUGUAAAUAACGAGGGGUGAAACGAAGCACAAACCAUAAACGAAACGAAUGUUGCAUGCUGUAAAUCGUGCGAUCUCCCCUCAUUCAUCAUUUAUAAUUAAUCAAGGCGCCAAAAUUAAGUCGCGCCAAAUUUUGCAAAAAAAGAGGGCAGCACAAGUGCAAACACACACGCUCAAGUGUGUGUUGGUGUGUGUAUAUAUUUUUGGCGUGCGCGGCCAUUUUUUUCCUUAGCUCUCAAGUCUGCAUGUGUGUGCGUGUGCUUAGUGUACUCCAAAUUCGUAAGAGAAAACGUAAAAAGUGCAAAUAGACAAAAUUAAUAAUAAUAAAUAAAAAGAAAAAAAUUAAUGAGUAUCUUCGGGUUGUUUACCUAGGUAGGCAAAUAUCGUAACCAAACUAUUGCUCCCUACGCACGCAAAACGAAAGGUGAAAACAUAAAAUCACAUAAAAGUUGUGAAAGGAUAGCAGAACGGAACGCGAAUAUUUGUCGAAACACCCCCUUCCCCACCCACACUAAUAGGUCAGUCAGAACACGUGCUUUUACUACGAAAACAUCAACAGAAACGCGCGCAAAAAAGAGAACACAAUAACAACUGCCAUUUCCAGUUGCAUAAAACCUGAACGACAAAAAAGAGUAUAAGCCAAGAAGUUGUGUAAGCCGCGAUUCGAUUUCAGUUUAGUCGCAAUCGUUGCCCGGCUCGGUUACGCUCUCUUUCUCUCCAAUCUCCGCUGAAGCGCUCGCUUUUGCAAAGGCCACAAUCUGGACGCUCGCACGAUCGCCUAUCGACCGCUGAACCUAGGCGGGCAGCCGCUUAUGGCUGCCGAACUGCCAACGUCGACGCCGAAUGGCGCUGGUAGCGAGUAUCACCUGCACCGAUCCAUCGACCAGCUGCGCACGCUCAGCCACCUCACCCAGCAGCAGCUGGUCCACGACUACAAGCCCUUCAACAUCAACGAGUUCCGCCAGAACGUUGAGCGUUUGGACUACUCGCGCAAGAACGGGCUGGUGCAGCAGCAGCAAAUAUUGAUUGACCAGCAGCAGCAGCAGCAGCAACAGCAACAGCAACAGCAGCAUCAGCAAUCGCAUCAGCAUGAUUCCGAGCAACAGCAGCAGCAACAACAACAGCAGCAGCUGCUCCAUCAGCCGCAGCUAAAGGGCAACUACAGUGCUCCAAGCUCGCCGGCAACGCCUACUCAGCUCAGCGAACACCAGGAGCAAAAGUAUGAUCCGAGUCGUCCGCCCUCUCGGCAGCAAGGUGGCAGCAAUGGCAGCAACGGCUCAUCGCCCGAGGAUCAGCGCCAGGGCGGGGAGCAGACGAAGCCGUACAAGUGCGCCUCGUGCAGUAAAUCCUUCGCCAACUCAUCCUAUUUGUCGCAGCACACGCGCAUCCAUCUGGGCAUCAAGCCCUACCGCUGCGAGAUCUGCCAGCGCAAAUUCACGCAGCUGUCGCACCUGCAGCAGCACAUACGCACGCAUACGGGCGACAAGCCGUACAAAUGCCGGCACACUGGCUGCCCGAAGGCCUUCUCGCAGCUCUCGAAUCUGCAGUCGCAUUCGCGCUGCCAUCAGACGGACAAGCCGUUCAAAUGCAACUCGUGCUACAAGUGCUUCGGCGACGAGGUGACGCUGCUUGAGCACAUACCCAAGCACAAGGACUCGAAGCAUCUGAAGACGCACAUUUGCCAGCUGUGCGGCAAGUCCUACACGCAGGAGACCUAUCUGCAGAAGCAUCUGCAAAAGCACGCCGAGAAGGCCGAGAAGCAGCAGCAGCGGCACACGACGCCGGCCGCCAAUCUGCAGCAGCAUGUGCCAGCGGGCGGCAUUGGGCUGAAUCUGCAGAGGCAGGCGAUGAACGACGCUAAUGCCGCGUAUUGGGCCAAAAUGGGCGUUGAUAGCGCCGCCGCCACGCUGGCCGAGGCCAUACAGCAGCAGCUGCCGCAAGCCAAUGGCAGUUCGUAUGCCAACUUUGCGACUCUCCAGCAUCAGCAGCAGCAACAACAGCAGCAGCAGCAGCAGGAACUGCUGCAGCAGCAUCAUCAACGCCUGGCCAAUAGCGGCGGGGAUACGCCAGGGCACUCGCAAAGCCCGCAUGACGAGGCUGGCGAGGAUCUGGUGCUGCGUCAGAGCACGCCUCAGCAUCAUAUGCAACAGCAGCAACAGCAGCAGCAGCAUCCACAGCAGCAGCAGCAACAUGCGACGCACGCUCAUUCCCCUGGACCGGGCACCUCGGCCUUCACGCCGCUGAGCGCCACCGUCGCACCACCGCCCUCGCAUCUGCAGCAGCAUCGAGCACCGCCCGCAGCCACUGCCGCCUACCUGUAUCAGCAGAAUGCAGCCGCUGCUGCUGCCGCCGCCGCCUUUCCUACGCAGCUAAUCUCGCUGCAUCAGAUACGAAACUAUGCGCAUCAGCCGAGCACCGGAAUUUUGGCCAGCGACCAUUUGGCUCUGGGUCUCAGCACCGUGGCCAAGGAAAAGGCCCAAUAGUAUCGGGCGACCGGCCACAAACGGCAGCCGAAGGAGCAGCAGCUACGAUGACAGCGAAAGCAGCUUAAGUUAAGUUAGGGUUAAGUUAGGCUUAACUUGGGCUGAUUUAGAGGGAGGGACAGCUGUCGAUGCCUGGUUUCCUCUAUGCGCCUCUGAUGAGGCUGCACAGCACGACUAAAAAAUACCAGCGGCAACUGUGCUGCCCCAUCGUAGACAUAAACACAUUUAGUAACUCCACACUGCCUCAAGAAUACAAAUAUACCUAUCAAUGUGACAGAUGCAUACAGCAAACCAGGCUUUGACAGCUGUAGACCGCAAGGAAACUACUUGAAGGUUAUUUUUAAAGCAAACUCAGGGUUUUCACUUAGCUUCUAAAACACACUAUAUAUACAUAAUUACCCUAUAAGCAAUAUUUACAAGCAAGAUUGAGGAAACGAGAACACAAAACUCUAUUCAACUCGAAAUUUCUAUUGUUUCCAGUUGCAAACAGUUUUUUGUCCAUGAUAGAGAUAGUCCGUAAGCCUGUACAACAACAACCUAUAAUAUAUAGAAUAGAUCAUAGGUGCCGUACAAAGUACUGCGAUAGUUAUAUAUCCACGAGUGUACAUAUUAUAACUAAUUAUAAUGUGCUGUACAAGUCAACGUAUCAACGGAGUUAUACAAUCAACAAUUUGUCUGUAUAAAUCUAGAGUUAACCAAACUACUCUAGGAUCUAUUUUAUAUUUAAUCAUACACGUCCGGCAACCGCAGCGAGGAUCAAAGGAAGCAAUGAUGCAGAAGCAAAUGCACAUAAUCCGCUUACGUUGCUUCGGGAGAAGAGAGCCGAAGUCUCACAAGAGAUUUACGUUCUCAGAUGUUUAGCAUUUCGCGUCCUUCCAUAUCUUCAUAUUACCCUCAACAGCAAAGAAAUCGAAAUUGAGAAACAGCAGCUGCUACCGCCGAUUGACGUCGCAUUUCGAAGAUUAAUGAUAGCAUUGCUCGAGCGGAGCUCAAAUUUGAAUAUAUGGGCAUUCAUUGAAUCGCUGCUUUGAGCUAAAUUUAGAUAUUACAAUAUUGGCUCUAACAUUGAAACGGAUGUGCGAAAUACCAAUACAUGCAAUCUUUAAUUAAGCAGAACUGCAGAUUUUUUGUUUUUAGUUUUAUUUUCCAAAUUUAGUAUUUUUAUUAAAUCCUCACAUCUGAAAUUAGUUUGGAAAAGUAUAUUUGCUUUUAUAAGUGAUAUGUAUUAUAUAGUAA